AAUUGCAAAAGCACGAUCUGCCUCAUUCAACAGUCUGAAAAUUGGGCGAACAAACUUCAUACGGCCAACGCUGCCAACACGUUCUGCAAUAGUGUUGUAUAAUGGCUUAUAUUUACUCUUCAAUGCGAGUUUAAAAAACCGGAAAGAUAACUCUGCAUUUUUCGAUUCGGCAAACGAGUAAACAUCACCCAUUCUUUUAAUAUAAUUGUGAGGAAAAGAGACAGCUUCAUAAACAACAUCCAAAAACAAAGAUUUCUGGCCCGCUGACCAAUUUUCAAUAUCUUUGCUGCUAAACUUGGAGGGAUCAUCAGAAUUUUUAGCAGAAUUAGUCCAGCUUUCUGCAAGCUUGUAGCAAGGAUCUGCAAGCGUUGUAUCAAAAUGUGGUUUAACCGGAGGCAUACCAGGAGCAUGGUACCAAGUAUCCCAAUCAAUCGAGUCCAACUUAGAUGCAAGCCCAAGAGGUGAGAAGUAUUCAUACAGUGCAUGCUUGAAUUUGACUUCGUUUACGGUAGACUUUGCAAAUUUCCUAAAGUAAAAGGGAAGGAAUGGUUCAAAAACAGAAGGACCACCAAUAACCCUCUCUAUUUCAUAGAGGAAAUUGGAGCCCUUUUCGUAAGGAACAGUGGAAAAGGCAUCAUCGGGAUCCCUUCCUUCGAGGUUUUGAAUCAACUUCGUAUACUCACUAUCUUCACCCAACAAUUUAACCGAUUCUUCUAAUUCACCCCAGCCAAUAAUGGCUUCAAAUUGGCGAGUCGGCUCACCAUAAAGACGGCCUAAAAUUUUGCGUUCCAAGAAAACAGUCAUACCUUCAUUCAACCAAAAGCAUUGCCAUGACUCAUUAGUAACUAAAUUACCGCUCCAAGAAUGGGCUAAUUCAUGAGCAAUAACGUUAACAUUGGAGCGAUCUCCGGCAAUAAGUGUCGGCGUAGCAAACGUAGCAUUAGGGUUCUCCAUACCUCCGUAUGGGAAGGAAGGCGGAAGGAUGACAAAAUCAUACCGUGUCCAGCAAUAAGGAAGUGUUAGUUGCUCGGCGGCUUCCAUAAAGUUUUCCAUGUCAUGUUCAAAUUCGUAUUUGCAAGCUAACAAGUUGCCAGGCUCUGUGUAUACAGAAGAACGUGGACCUAUAUUUGUGGAGGCCAAAUCACCACUGAGAAUGCAAAAUAAAUAACUAGGGAUUGGAUUUUUUUGCUCAAACAGGUAUUCCAAAGAGCCAUUGCAGAAAUUAGCUGUUCCACAUGGGAUACCCGAUGCGAUUACGGGAAGUUUGGACCGGAUCUUAAAAGUACACGGAACUUUAACAGAAGGAGUAUCUUGACAGGGAAUGAAUGAACGUGCAUGAAUGGCUUGACAUUCCGAAAAAACAUAAGGAAAUUUACCACCUAUCGUUUGUUCAGGCUUCAAAAACUGAAGUGCUGUACAAUCCUUAGUAGUGGAAUAUAAGAUUGUAAGUAUACAGGAUUUUGAGGAAGGGAUUUCAUCAGCGGGAACGAUAUGCAAAGCUGAACCCAAAAAUCCGCGCCGCUUAUCAACACGGAAAGGAGUAGGGAUGUCAUUAAUCGUUACAUUCUUGAUUUCGAGGUAAGAAGUGUCAAGGAUAAUAUGGGACAGGGCUUGGGACACCCUAGCAGAUUGAAUCACAAAGGAUACUUUACCAUGGAGCAGCUCUUGGUCAAAGUCAAUUCGAGCGUGCCAAUCGAGCUUACUGAUUGAGACAUCAUGAUAAUUAGAUUGAGUGGAAGGGUCCAAACGAAGUUUCAUAUUUAAAAUUAAUUGAAGGAAUUUAGGACAAUGUACAAACGAAUUCUUUAAACGAAAACAACGCUCAAUAUAUUAGAAGCCUAGAUAAAACCAACGAGUACAACGAUCUCAGCUUUAGCAAUAUGAGUUAUGCUACUGAGUAAAUAAAAAUAUUAAGUAUAAAAUAGUUAAAACAGAUUAAUCACAGUUUUAUAAAGGAAGGAAUAGGAAAAGCGAUCAUACAGCAAUACGAUGAGUAGCAACAUGUGUGGAUAUGGGUGCAGCGCGUUAUGCUACUUUAUCGAUAUCAUUAUGUAUCACUACAUUUAUUUUCGUUGAGCAACGCAAUUUGUAAAUUCACAAAAGAAAACAGUUUAUUGUUGAAUAGGAGUUUUGGAGAGAGGGCUU